rnacentral:snoRNA from 1 species
GCUCAGUGAUGAUAUAAAGGCUAAUGUGACUUGACUAGCUGGGUUGCACCCUCAGCCCAUUCCAGGAAUACAGGCCUGUAAUCUUGGUGGACAAUGCAGAGCUGUGCGUGUUUGCUGUAAGGGCGGGCCGACAGAAAAUCCCCUUCCCGUGUCCCUGGAAAAUACAUCUUUGGGAUGCUUCAGCUCUGAGGGAGUGUUUCUUUGAGCUGAUGGGGGGCAGUGGGGAUAGGAUAGGCUAGCGCGUCCAAGGUUUGGGUUGCAGGGGGUAGCCCACAUUACAGCUGGCGAGAUGUGAGCACACGUCUUUGGUAAUCUGAUGACU